rnacentral:misc_RNA from 1 species
AGUUACUUUACUAGUUACUAAUGGUUUGAAGCCACCCUAAACUACUUCCCAAAAAGCAUAUAUGAACAGUUUCAAAUAAACUAUUCACUGGAUUAUCCAUAAAAUACAACAUAUUGGGCACAAAUAUGAUCUCAACUGUAACUCACAAUUUUGCAAUCAAAUGCAUGUAAACCUACUUUUGGGAUCAUAAAAUAGCUACGACAAAAUUCAACAUUAUCCAGCAUAUUAAAGAAACCUGUGCUAUCCAGUGAAAUUUAUGAACUCUGAUUCUUUAACAACAUAAGCUGUUUAAUUUCCUAGCAUAAAUGGCCCUCCUCAACUUCAAUUUAGAAUCCACACAUAUUCUUUCUAAUAUGUCACUCAUCAACUCCAAAUGCAGAAUGCUUCUUCUCAAGAAUGCUUCUAGGAGUUUCUAGAUUCUUUCAAAUCUUGUCCUUAAUCAGUUUUUCUUAUCUUCUGUGUUUUUCUCCA